UACGUAGGGUGCGAGCGUUAAUCGGAAUUACUGGGCGUAAAGCGUGCGCAGGCGGUUUUGUAAGCCAGAUGUGAAAUCCCCGGGCUUAACCUGGGAAUGGCAUUUGGGACUGCAAGGCUGGAGUUUGGCAGAGGAGACUGGAAUUCCCGGUGUGGCAGUGAAAUGCGUAGAUAUCGGGAGGAAUACCGAUGGCGAAGGCAGGUCUCUGGGCUAUAACUGACGCUCAUGCACGAAAGCGUGGGGAGCAAACAGG
rnacentral:rRNA from 1 species